rnacentral:rRNA from 1 species
AUUGAACGCUGGCGGCAGGCCUAACACAUGCAAGUCGAACGGUAACAGGAAGAGGCUUGCUUCUUUGCUGACGAGUGGCGGACGGGUGAGUAAUGUCUGGGAAACUGCCUGAUGGAGGGGGAUAACUACUGGAAACGGUAGCUAAUACCGCAUAACGUCGCAAGACCAAAGAGGGGGACCUUCGGGCCUCUUGCCAUCGGAUGUGCCCAGAUGGGAUUAGCUAGUAGGUGGGGUAACGGCUCACCUAGGCGACGAUCCCUAGCUGGUCUGAGAGGAUGACCAGCCACACUGGAACUGAGACACGGUCCAGACUCCUACGGGAGGCAGCAGUGGGGAAUAUUGCACAAAGGGCGCAAGCCUGAUGCAGCCAUGCCGCGUGUAUGAAGAAGGCCUUCGGGUUGUAAAGUACUUUCAGCGGGGAGGAAGGGAGUAAAGUUAAUACCUUUGCUCAUUGACGUUACCCGCAGAAGAAGCACCGGCUAACUCCGUG